UACAGAGGGGGCAAGCGUUGUUCGGAAUUACUGGGCGUAAAGGGCGCGUAGGCGGCCCGCUAAGUCGAACGUGAAAUCCCUGGGCUCAACCCAGGAACUGCGUCCGAUACUGGCGGGCUUGAAUCCGGGAGAGGGAUGCGGAAUUCCAGGUGUAGCGGUGAAAUGCGUAGAUAUCUGGAGGAACACCGGUGGCGAAGGCGGCAUCCUGGACCGGUAUUGACGCUGAGGCGCGAAAGCCAGGGGAGCAAACGGG
rnacentral:rRNA from 1 species